rnacentral:rRNA from 1 species
GAUGAACGCUAGCGGGAGGCCUAGUACAUGCAAGUCGAGCGGUCAGCAAUGAUAGCGGCAGACGGGUGCGUAACGCGUAUGAAACUUGCCCUACACAGGAGGAUAGCCUUGGGAAACUGAGAGUAACCCUCCAUAGUCUUAUAAUGCCGCAUGGUGAUAUAAGUAAAAACUUCGGUGGUGUAGGAUAGUCGUGCGUCCGAUUAGCUAGUUGGUGAGGUAAUGGCUCACCAAGGCGACGAUCGGUAGCUGGUCUGAGAGGAUGAUCAGCCACACGGGCACUGAGACACGGGCCCGACUCCUACGGGAGGCAGCAGUAAGGAAUAUUGGACAAUGGACGGAAGUCUGAUCCAGCCAUCCCGCAUGGAGGAAUAAGGCCCUAUGGGUUGUAAACUCCUUUAGCAGGGGAAUAAAAGGUCAUUUAUGAUCAAUUGAAGGUACCCUGAGAAUAAGC